UGAGUAACCUGCCCUUCACUCUGGGAUAACUCCGGGAAACCGGGGCUAAUACUGGAUAUGACUCGAACAGGCAUCUGUUUCGGGUGGAAAGAUUUAUUGGUGGAGGAUGGACUCGCGGCCUAUCAGCUUGUUGGUGAGGUAAUGGCUCACCAAGGCGACGACGGGUAGCCGGCCUGAGAGGACGAUCGGCCACACUGGGACUGAGACACGGCCCAGACCUCCGUACGGGAGCA
rnacentral:rRNA from 1 species